UACGUAGGGUGCAAGCGUUGUCCGGAAUUAUUGGGCGUAAAGAGCUCGUAGGCGGCUUGUCACGUCGGCUGUGAAAACCCGGGGCUCAACUCCGAGCCUGCAGUCGAUACGGGCUGGCUUGAGUGCGGUAGGGGAGACUGGAAUUCCUGGUGUAGCGGUGAAAUGCGCAGAUAUCAGGAGGAACACCGGUGGCGAAGGCGGGUCUCUGGGCCGUAACUGACGCUGAGGAGCGAAAGCGUGGGGAGCGAACAGG
rnacentral:rRNA from 1 species